GUUACGGUCCGCAGGCCGCGGGGUGAGAGGCCGGGGCGGGGCGGGGCUGCUGGACGCGGCGGGGCAGUUACUUCAAAUCGUGGUCGUGGGAGCGUGGGGUGCACGACGGGUCCCCUGCAUCGCGGCUCGCCGCCGGCGCCAUGGCGCAGAGGGCCUUCCCGAACCCCUACGCCGACUAUAACAAGUCCCUGGCCGAAGGCUACUUCGAUCCCGAAGGGCGGCUGACUCCUGAGUUCUCACAGCGCUUGAACAAUAAGAUUCGAGAGCUUCUGCAGCAAAUGGAGAGAGGCCUGAAGUCAGCAGACCAUCGGGAUGGCACCGCUUACACUGGCUGGACAGGUAUUGCUGUGCUUUACUUACAUCUCUAUGAUGUGUUCGGGGACCCUGCCUACCUCCAGAUGGCACAUAGCUACGUAAAGCAAAGUCUGAACUGUUUGUCCAAGCGUUCCAUCACCUUCCUUUGUGGGGAUGCAGGCCCGCUGGCUGUUGCCGCUGUGGUGUAUCACAAGAUGAGCAAUGAGAAGCAGGCAGAAGAUUGCAUCACCCGGCUAAUCCACCUAAAUAAGGUUGAUCCCCACGCUCCAAAUGAAAUGCUCUAUGGACGAGUGGGCUACAUCUACGCUCUUCUCUUUGUGAACAGGAACUUUGGAGUAGAAAAGAUUCCUCAACGCCACAUUCAGCAGGUUUGUGAAACAGUCUUAACAUCUGGAGAAAACCUAGCUAGAAAGAGAAACUUCACAGCAAAGACUCCACUGAUGUAUGAGUGGUACCAAGAAUAUUAUGUGGGGGCUGCUCAUGGCCUGGCAGGGAUUUACUACUUCCUGAUGCAGCCCUGCCUUCAAGUGAGCCCUGCCAUCCUACACAGCUUGGUCAAGCCUAGUGUAAACUAUGUCUGCCAGCUGAAGUUCCCUUCCGGCAAUUACCCUCCUUGUGUGGGUGACACUCGGGAUCUGCUGGUCCACUGGUGUCACGGUGCUCCUGGGGUCAUCUACAUGCUCCUCCAGGCCUAUAAGGUAUUCAAAGAGGAACAGUAUCUCAACGAUGCCUAUCAGUGUGCUGAUGUGAUCUGGCAGCAUGGGUUGCUGAAGAAGGGGUAUGGGCUGUGCCAUGGCACUGCAGGGAAUGCCUAUUCCUUCCUGGCGCUGUACAACGUCACGCAGGAUACCAAGUACCUGUACAGGGCCUGUAAGUUUGCUGAAUGGUGCUUAGAUUAUGGAGAUCAUGGAUGCAGAACACCGGACACCCCCUUCUCCCUCUUUGAAGUACAACAGCUCAGUAUUAAAAAUCUGUGAGCACGUGGACUAGCACAGACCUCAUACUAAUAGUCAUAGUGAUGACCACCAUUAUGGAGCCAGGCACGUGCUAGGCAUUAUGCAGAUGCCGUCAUAAAUCUCAGCGAAAACAUACAGACAUUAUCCGCACGUCACAGAUGUGAAGACAGGAAUGGCUGGGACAAUAUAUUUUCUGGCUGAUCUCCUCGUGCCCUCGAAAGCCCGGUUUCCUGCAUUUGAGCUAUAAAAGGACAGCCUGCCCUGCAACUCAUGCAUGACCCUUCCUGUAUAUCAGACCUGAGCGAAAUGCUGUCAGUGCUUUUCAAUGAAACAGUCAAACUGUGUACUUGGUUUAGUUGGGUUUUUUUUUCUCCAGAAUUUGUCUUUAGUUCACUUCCUUUUUUUAUCAUUUAUUUUUAUUUUUAAAUAUCCAAGGAAAUCCUUUAACUUUAACUUCACUUUCUUCCAAAAAAGAAGCUGGGUGAUAUGUAUAAUAUUUUGAGGGCAUAUAUGUAUAUAUAUAUUUUAUAACUUGGAGGAAUUCUUGCUCUUAUUUAAGCUUAUGAAUAUAAUUGUCUGUUACUGUUCUAAAAAUGGUUAAAAGAAACUGAAUAUAGAUAACGGAUAAACAUAUGAUUAUUGUUGGACAUUGCCCUCUACCUCUGCUCUUUAGUAUUUUUUCUCCAACAGGACAGUUUUAUGACUUUGCUUUUCUCUAGGGGCUGAUUAUGAAAGGGAACAAAAAUAUAACUCUGUGCUUCCAGGACAAAAAUUGCAGGAGUUAAAAACUGCUCUAGCAACCUAAAUGCCAUUUUUUAAAUUCACAAUGUUAAUUUAAACUAGAGAUCAGCAUACUCUGACAUUUGCCCCUUUUUGUUAGGAAAGCAUCCAGGCUCUACUGGUGAAAAUGCUUUGAAGGUUAGUUCUAGAUAAGCUAACAAUAAGAGUUUACUGUGUGUUAUUUUUCUAAAGUAAGCUAGUGCAGUUUGUAACUAUUUAUUUAAAUUUGUUUGUUCUCUAGAAUUAGUAUAAGAUCAGGAAACAGUUCAGGCUGUGACUAUGUUGUAGCUGAGGACUUGAGUCCACCCUGUCCCACUGACCUUCUAAACUUUGAUUUGUUUCACUUGCUUGGCAGUGACUUUGCUUUCAUGGUGGGUGUUUGAUACGAGCCACGUUUCUCUUCCUAGCAACCUAUCUGGAUGUAGGUCUUUUCACUAAGUAGUAAAGCAUUCUAAUUCUAUUUAAAAGGAGGGAGGGGUGCUGUGUGUAUAGCCAUUAGCUUGAAAAAAACAAAACACUAAGCUUUUGCUAUAAAUCCAGUGAUCGUGCUUAGAACAAAUGGAUCCUGCCUUUUUGCAUAUGUUAGGCUUUGUAUUCAUCACUUUCUGAGCCCUCAGAAUAGGGUAUUUAUAUAGUAGAUGCAGAAUCCCUGGUGCUUCAAGUCUGUACAAAUGUUUUGACUCAUCAGCUUCUACUCCUCCUUCCAUUGCUGCCUUUCUCAAGCUUGUCUUAUUCUAUGUUUUGACUAAGUUUAGAACAUUUGCAGCUUUAAAAAAACAGGGUCUGAAAGUUUUAAAUGUGCCUAUCCCACAGCUCUCUCAGUCAUAAAAACAUGCUAUUUUUAUUGGAAGUUUGAGCCAAAACCCCACUGAGUGUGUGUUGGUUCCUGCAGUCCCCUAUUGUUUUCCACAAAGCACCAAAAUAGCUAAUAUUAUUGGAAAUUGUCUAAGCCUUUAAACAGGGGUGGGGAACCUUUUUUCUGCCAAGGGCCAUUUGGAUAUUUAUAACACCAUUUGCAGGCCAAACAGAAUUAUCAACCUAAAAAUUAGCCUGCUAUAUUUGGUCAAACAUUUAAUUAACUCACCCCUAAUGCCUUGGCAAGGCCAGACCAAAUGAUAGCUGGGGCCUUAAAUGGGCCAGACUUUCCCCACCCCUGCUUUAAAGGCUACUGACAACAGGAUCUACAAAACAGCCCACUACUCAAGUCCUAGGAUUCGCUUGUCCUCUGUGACUUGUGCUAUUCGCGGACAACCUUGUGCCUCUUGGGUUUCUCAAGUGCUGCUGAGAGCCAUGUGCAAGCUCUGCCUUCCCAGGAACGUUUCAGCGGGGGUGUCAGCAUCCACAGGAAAGCUAAUUUGCCUUGGCUGGGUGUCUAACUGGAAGGAAUAAAACCCACUUGGUUUAGUUAAAUAUCUUGCUCUACCGUGCCUGUACUUUUAGCAAUUAUAGUUACUAAAGGAAUAACAACAAAACAUAAUUUCUUAGCCAGAGACUUGAUCACAGUGCUUCUCCAAACAUCUCAGUCAAUUUAAACCCCAGGAAGACUUCAAGGCAGGAAAAAUAAUAUUUUGAAUAAGAUUCUUAUUAAUACCUGAAUUACAAUCUGGCUACUGUCAUCUAUUAUCAAAUUCAUCAAUAUAAACACAAUUCAGGUACCCUUUUUUUUUCUUUUUAGGACUUACAAAACUGGCAGGAUUUGUGUCGUUUUUAAUUUUUAUGCAUAAGAGCUGAGAAAGUUGAUAGGAUUUUAACUUAGGCAAAGGCUAUAAAACUAAGACCAUGAUAGAAACUGAAAGAAACUUUUACAUUAGCUUUCUUAGUUUUAAAAGGAAGAGGCAUCAUUUCAGUUGUAUUUCUGUUGUAUUAUUUUUCUCUCAUAUAUUUUUCUUUUUGGUGAAAAAAAAAAACCUCCCCAAAACUUGCCUCCCAGAAAACUCAUUAGUGUGUCUCGUCUCCAUGAAAAGACUAGGUGGUAAAACCUGAAGAGCUUGCCGCACAGUGUUCAUUUGUCCUGCCUAUGUUUGUUCCUGUAGUGAUAAAAAUUGCAGUAGUUAACUUUUCAUCAUGGAAAAAAUGCUAACAUUAUCAUAACUAUCUUCAUCAAUACCACUGGGCUUUGGUCUCCUCCAGGUUGUCUGUCUCUAAUCCUUAGAGUCAUUUGGCUCCCUUUUCAUCUCUGAUGUCAGUUCCAAUUAUUUGGCAUCAAAAGCCUUCAUGGUAGGUAGAGCGUUGGGUAAAAAUGGAUCGAAGACUCUUUUCUCUCCUUGUUACUACUUUCUUAUGUAACUGAAUGGACGGAGAUCCUUUGCUCCUAUGUCCUCAGGCUAAUUUGUGUCUAGUCUUGUAAUGCCCUGCUUUCUACUAGCUGACUUUGAAAUACAACAUGUGAAAAGUAGACAUUUGUUCAUCUAUUCCUUUGGCUACUAGAACUCUUCUGUAGUCCUUUUUACUUAUACUGAAUUCCAUUUCUGCUUCCCCUAAAUAGGUCAAAGCACCCCAUUUCUAUAUUACUAGGCUGUAGAACUGUUUCUCCCCAUAGGUAUAAAACUAAGUGUUUGGGAUAUUCAGGGAACCCACCCCAAUAUUAUAUUGCCAUUUAUUGGGAAGGGCUGGGAUCAUAUGUAUUUCUAUGUUCUGUAAAGGAUUUGACUUACUGGUUCUCAAUAAAAUUUUAUUAGGACUAUA